UUCAAAAGGAAGCAACCGCGAUUGUAC
rnacentral:sRNA from 1 species